UACCAGCACCCCGAGUGGUCGGGACGAUUAUUGGGCCUAAAGCAUCCGUAGCCGGUUUACAAGUCCUCCGUUAAAUCCAGCUGCUUAACAGAUGGGCUGCGGAGGAUACUAUAAGACUAGGAGGCAGGAGAGGCAAGCGGUACUCAGUGGGUAGGGGUAAAAUCCGUUGAUCCAUUGAAGACCACCAGUGGCGAAGGCGGCUUGCCAGAAUGCGCUCGACGGUGAGGGAUGAAAGCUGGGGGAGCAAACCGG
rnacentral:rRNA from 1 species